GUCUCUUAGAAAUUAUUAAGAGUCAGGCCUGCCCAGUGAUUGCUUUUUUUAACGGCCGCGGUACCCUGACCGUGCAAAGGUAGCAUAAUCAUUUGCCUUUUAAUUGGAGGCUGGUAUGAACGGUUUGACGAGAGUAAAGCUGUCUCACACACAUUAAUUAAAAACUAAUUUAAAGGUGCAAAAGCCUUUAUAAAACAAAAAGACGAGAAGACCCUGUUGAGCUUUAAUUUUAAUGAGUACUAACUUUAUAUUAAUAUAAUUUAUUUACUCAAUAAAAAUUUUAAUUGGGGCGAUUAAGGAACACAACAAAGCUUCCUGAUUUUAAUAUUAAAUAUCUAUAAAUUAAAUCGAUCCAGCAAUGCUGAUCAACAAAACGAGUUACCACAGGGAUAACAGCAUAAUUCUUUUUCAGAGCUCAUAUCGAAAAAAGAGAUUGUGACCUCGAUGUUGGACUAGGGUAACGAAAAGGUGUAGCAGCUUUUUUGCUUGGUCUGUUCGACCAAUAAUUCCCU
rnacentral:rRNA from 2 species